CCUACGGGAGGCUGCAGUGAGGAAUAUUGGUCAAUGGACGCAAGUCUGAACCAGCCAUGCCGCGUGCAGGAAGACGGCUCUAUGAGUUGUAAACUGCUUUUGUAAGAGAGUAAACGCAGAUACGCGUACCUGUCUGAAAGUAUCGUACGAAUAAGCAUCGGCUAACUCCGUGCCAGCAGCCGCGGUAAUACGGAGGAUUCAUGCGUUAUCCGGAUUUAUUGGGUUUAAAGGGUGCGUAGGCGGGCGGAUAAGUUAGAUGUGAAAUGCCGAGGUUCAACUUCGGAAUUGCCUCUGAUACUGGUCGGCUAGAGGUGAGUUGAGGUAGGCGGAAUGUGUGGUGGAGCGGUGAAAUGCUUAGAGAUCAGGCAGAACACCGAGUGCGAAGGCAGCUUACCGAGCCACCUCUGACGUUGAGGCACGAAAGCGUGGGGAGCAAACAGGAUUAGAUACCCGAGUAGUC
rnacentral:rRNA from 1 species